UUGACAAUCCUCGUCGUACGGCCCAAUUACAACGUCUGUUUGGAAUCAAAACCAGGCUCAUAAACUCUCCGCAGGCGCACGCCCAGCAGUCUCUCGGUCUCGGAUCUUGAUCUGAAAGCAAAAUGUGGCGAACCAUUUCGACGCCCAUCUCAGAGGACUAGGUCUCUUCACUUCCUCCACGCAAUCUUUCCUUCUCGCUCAAAGCCCUGCCUACAAUCCUCACUGUUUCCCCCGAGUCUCACACUCUAUACGUCCACAAAGCCCUCAUCUUCUGCACAAUCGACGCACCCUCCGUCUCCUCGAUCCCCGGCCUCGGAAUCCGCGGUCUCGGUUCCAAUUUCGGUUUGAUCGUAUGCGGUGCAUUUCCUCGGACUCUCCGGCGCCCACAUUGGAUUGGAACGACCCGGUGUCGUGCUCGGUGGUCGGCAACGGAGACAAUGGCAGCGUGGAGGUGGAUACUUAAGCCCUCUAUUCUUGUCAGAGACUAUUUCUUCUUCUCUACCAGUGUGUGAGAAGGUUAACGGAACACCAAUUUUAUUCUGCCAACAUUGCGAAAGACUGAUUAGUCUGUUCUUAAGUUCGGCAUCGGGGCUUGGCUUUGUGGUAUGAGACUAAUCAACUGGAAGAGCUUGCCAGGACGGCUUGGUAAGCAAGCAAGCAGGCGCCAACUCCCAGUUCCUUCUCUUCUCUAUUUUUUGGGCCCCUGUGAACAUAGGAAUUGGAUGGAUGACUCACUCUCUCUUGGAUCUUUGCGAGACCAUUUCAAGGAGGAGCAAAGAUCAAGAAGCAGGAGUAGCACUGUAACACAGCUUGGAGGCAUCUCAAAUCUGCUGCAUGUCUUGGGCAUCCAACAACAUCAUACUUAUUACGACGACUCCCAGAGAGUCUUGAGUGACGAAUCCACAAGCAUGACACUGAUACUGUCCACCACCAUACAUAGUCUUCUGACAGUGACUCUGGCAUGCCUAAAUGAUCCAUCAUUCAGCCCACUCUGCAACUCCACAACUUCAUUAGUCAAGUGGGUCCUCACCACAGACCUAUAUAUAUAUAUAUAUUAGGAUCGAUAUUAUAUUUGAUUCCACGAACUGUUUUUGAACCAGAUCUUCCUUUAAAUGUGUAUCUAUUCCCUAUUUAUUAACUCAUACAUGGCAAAUCAUGGGUCUCGUUUGUGAGAGCACUUCCUAAAUUUUUAUUGUUAUGUUUACAUUUUUGUAUAUCCCCUCAUAAUAUAUACUUGACCAUUCUUUUUGUUUUUCUUAA